UCAACAGGGCGCACUGACUCAUGUUCCGUGACGAGGGUCCUACACUUAUGUUGACGGUCCGCGUAGCUGCAGCUCCCCAGCAACUGCCCCUGCCUUCACCAGGCAGCCCCUGCACACCUCCGCUGGCCCUGCACGGGGUCAGGGACGCCCCGUAGCCAGCUGUGUGGAGAACCUCUGGAAAAAGCUAUUGAAUUUCUUCAAAGAACAUGUAGCACUUGUAUAAUCAGAAAAACCUAAAGAUGGAACUAGAGAUUUUAAGUGAUAAAUCAUCACUUUACACAGAAUCUGCUAGGAACUGAUGAUACUGAGAUAAAAGACAAAAAUCCCUUCCCUUAAACAACUACAGAACCCUGAAAGAGAGACGGAUGAGUUAAUAAAAGAUGAUGAUGCCUAGCAUGAAGGUUAAUACUCUGGUGAGGAUCCAUGGGAUGCAUCUGAGGAGGUCUGCAAAGGAAGGAGGGAAGAAACCAUAUUAGUCAGGAGCCCAGUCCUCAACUCAA